UUUCCUCCAUAUUUACAGGUGCUUGGAUGGGGAAUCGUCAACGGCAAAGAACCGCUCCCAAAAGUAAGAAACGCACCAUACUGUAGGAAACGCGUGGAGAAUCUACAAGAAGUCAAACCGAAUUGCAGACAGCACCUCGUAAAAAAUCAGUGCGCAUGUCGGCUGCCAUCUUAUCAAUACAGAGCUAUCCCAGCAUGCUUUGUUACGUGUACAUGCACUAGCUGGAAUGGCGGUCUGGCUUUGGACAAUGUGUCUAGGUGCUAAUGUGUCUGCAUUUCCUCGUUAAAAGUGUCUGAGGGCGGUUUGAAUCGGAGGAAGGCAGGAGGGUGAGGCUUACGGACCGAUGAGGAGUUUGUGGUGGUGGCGGCCGGGGCUCAGGGCAGGGGCGUGAUUCAAGAAAAUGAACUGGUCGAUGCCGUCGCAAUCCGGACAUUGCACGUAGGCCGUUGAACAGCCAGAGUACUAGAACAACCCCAUGUGCCUUGGCCGAGACGGAGGGAGAGAAGCAGGCCACAGCCAGGCACUCUGAUGGGCUGUGCAACAAGGGGGAACCUGGGCCCCAACUGCAGGUCACAUGACUUGCCCCGCUGCCAUUUACUACGCGGACGUGAAGGGUCAAAGUUCGCGAUGAGAUCUCGAUUAACAGCUGGAACCUAAUGGAAUUUAUUGUGGAAUAAAUCCGGUUUUAAUGUCCGUCUUUUUUUUGAACUACCAGUCAAAACAAAUGAAGCUCCAUCUUGGAUCUUAAUAUCAAGGAAUUCUAGGAUCUAUGUGGAUAUACUCAGUUAGGACUAGACCAGCAUAAAAGGUAAGUUCCCUAUAGACCAAAGUUUUUGAUUGUUUCUUUUUAUAUGAGGAAUAUCCAUAUCUCUGCUGUCUAAAUGGUUGUGAAAUCUUCUCUGGCAACAUUAUUUUACUCCAAUCAGAUUAUUAUGUCAAAGGUAUAGGGUGAUGGGAAUGGGCUGCAAUUGUUUGUCUUUUAUUCUAAGGUUUAAAAAGUUUUAGUUGGGGUAAGGUGUAGGGUAGGUGUAGGUGCUGGUGUUUAGAACUUUGGCUUAGACUUAGGGUUAGGGUCAGGGUAAGGUUAGGGUUUGGGUCAGGGUAAGGU
rnacentral:lncRNA from 1 species